rnacentral:rRNA from 1 species
CCUACGGGUGGCAGCAGUGGGGAAUAUUGCGCAAUGGGCGAAAGCCUGACGCAGCGACGCCGCGUGAGGGAUGAAGGUCUUCGGAUCGUAAACCUCUGUCAGCAGGGAAGAACGGGCAGUGUGCUAAUCAGCAGUGAAUUGACGGUACCUGCAAAGGAAGCACCGGCUAACUCCGUGCCAGCAGCCGCGGUAAUACGGAGGGUGCGAGCGUUAAUCGGAAUUACUGGGCGUAAAGCGCUCGUAGGCGGUAUGUCAAGUCAAGGGUGAAAUCCCCGCGCUCAACGUGGGAACUGCCUUUGAAACUGGUAAACUGGAGUGUGGGAGAGGAUAGUGGAAUUCCAGGUGUAGGAGUGAAAUGCGUAGAGAUCUGGAGGAACAUCAGUGGCGAAGGCGACUAUCUGGCACAUAACUGACGCUGAGGAGCGAAAGCGUGGGUAGCAAACAGGAUUAGAUACCCCAGUAGUC